rnacentral:rRNA from 1 species
GACGAACGCUGGCGGCGUGCCUAAUACAUGCAAGUAGAACGCACAGUUUAUACCGUAGCUUGCUACACCAUAGACUGUGAGUUGCGAACGGGUGAGUAACGCGUAGGUAACCUGCCUGGUAGCGGGGGAUAACUAUUGGAAACGAUAGCUAAUACCGCAUAAUAUUAAUUAUUGCAUGAUAAUUAAUUGAAAGGUGCAAUUGCACCACUACCAGAUGGACCUGCGUUGUAUUAGCUAGUAGGUGAGGUAACGGCUCACCUAGGCGAAGAUACAUAGCCGACAUGAGAGGGUGAUCGGCCACACGGUGAAUGAGACAAGGCACAGAAUACUAAGGGAGGCAGCAGUAGGGAAUCUUCGGAAAUGGACGAAAGUAUGACCGAGCAACGCCGAGUGAAUGAAGAAGGAUUUCGGAUCGUAAAGCUCGGUUGUAAGAGAAGAACGGGUGUGAGGGUGGAAAGUUAACACUGUGACGGUAUCUUACCAGAAAGGGACGGCUAACUACGUG